AUUGAACGCUGGCGGCAUGCCUUACACAUGCAAGUCGAACGGUAACGGGCCUUCGGGUGCCGACGAGUGGCGAACGGGUGAGUAAUGUAUCGGAACGUACCUUUCAGUGGGGGAUAACGUAGCGAAAGUUACGCUAAUACCGCAUAUUCUGUGCGCAGGAAAGCAGGGGAUCGCAAGACCUUGCGCUGAUUGAGCGGCCGAUAUCAGAUUAGCUAGUUGGUGAGGUAAAGGCUCACCAAGGCGACGAUCUGUAGCGGGUCUGAGAGGAUGAUCCGCCACACUGGAACUGAGACACGGUCCAGACUCCUACGGGAGGCAGCAGUGGGGAAUUUUGGACAAUGGGGGCAACCCUGAUCCAGCCACGCCGCGUGAGUGAAGAAGGCCUUCGGGUUGUAAAGCUCUUUCGGCCGGGAAGAAAUCGUAUCAGCUAAUACCUGGUGCGGAUGACGGUACCGGCAUAAGAAGCACCGGCUAACUACGUG
rnacentral:rRNA from 1 species